rnacentral:rRNA from 1 species
CAACUUUUAGCAACGGAUCUCUUGGCUCUCGCAUCGAUGAGGAACGCAGCGAAAUGCGAUAAGUAAUGUGAAUUGCAGAAUUCAGUGAAUCAUCGAAUCUUUGAACGCACCUUGCGCUCCUUGGUAUUCCGAGGAGCGUGCCUGUUUGAGUGUCAUG